rnacentral:rRNA from 1 species
UACGUAGGGACCGAGCGUUGUCCGGAUUCAUUGGGCGUAAAGAGCUCGUAGGCGGCUGUUCAAGUCGAACGUGAAAACUCGGAGCUCAACUCCGAGCCUGCGUUCGAUACUGGAUGGCUAGAGUCCGGAAGAGGAGAGUGGAAUUCCUGGUGUAGCGGUGAAAUGCGCAGAUAUCAGGAAGAACACCUAUGGCGAAGGCAGCUCUCUGGGACGGUACUGACGCUGAGACGCGAAAGCGUGGGGAGCGAACAGG